CAGUGUCUUCAACUGAAAACAAUGUUUCGGCAUUUAGAGGAAUGUCCUUGCGAUAAAACGAAAGUAGAAAACUCGUAAUUUGAAAAGAGUUGAGACUUAUUAAUACUAGAGAGUCUAGACCUAUAUCUAGACUCUAGGACUAGAUCUAUCAUUUGUUUUAUCCUUGUUAUGUAAUUGUUUUCUAUAAGGCAACCAUAAUGUCCACGUCUGCAGGAAAAAUAAUGGUUGUGAUGCUUGAAAGCUUGGCUGGAACUGGCCAUAAAGUAUUCAGACAACGGCCAAAGACUGGAGAUAAAUUAGAAUUUUUACAUUUUGAUCCAUAUGUUCAAGCACAGGUAUUAUAUAAAGAAGUUAAGAAAAUCAAAACUCUACGUUCAAAAUACAAAUAAAUGACUGCCAACUUUAAUCACAAAAAUAUUUCUUGUUAUUGAUAAUGAAUGCCUUUUUAAAAGAAAAAAAAAAAGUAUCAGUGAACUGAUAAAUAAAAAUAUAAAUAAUA